rnacentral:rRNA from 1 species
GUUGUAUGGUUAAGUGACUAAGCGUACACGGUGGAUGCCUUGGCAGUCAGAGGCGAUGAAGGACGUAGUAACUUGCGAUAAGCGUAGAUGAGGCAGUAACAGCCACUUGAGUCUACGAUUUCCGAAUGGGGAAACCCACUGGCAUAAGCCAGUAUCAUUGAGUGAAUACAUAGCUCAAUGAAGCGAACCGGGAGAACUGAAACAUCUAAGUACCCCGAGGAAAAGAAAUCAACCGAGAUUCCGAAAGUAGCGGCGAGCGAAAUUGGAUUAGCCCUUAAGCUUUACAUGUGUUAGACGAACGGUCUGGAAAGUCCGACGAUACAGGGUGAUAGUCCCGUAGUUGACGAUGCAUGUUCAGUGAAAUCGAGUAGGGCGGGACACGUGUUAUCCUGUCUGAAUAUGGGGGGACCAUCCUCCAAGGCUAAAUACUCCUGACUGACCGAUAGUGAACCAGUACCGUGAGGGAAAGGCGAAAAGAACCCCUGUGAGGGGAGUGAAAUAGAACCUGAAACCGUGUACGUACAAGCAGUAGGAGCACCUUCGUGGUGUGACUGCGUACCUUUUGUAUAAUGGGUCAGCGACUUAUAUUCAGUGGCAAGGUUAACCAUCUAGGGGAGCCGUAGGGAAACCGAGUCUUAACUGGGCGCCAUAGUCUCUGGAUAUAGACCCGAAACCGAGUGAUCUAGCCAUGGGCAGGUUGAAGGUUGAGUAACAUCAACUGGAGGACCGAACCGACUAAUGUUGAAAAAUUAGCGGAUGACUUGUGGCUAGGGGUGAAAGGCCAAUCAAACUCGGAGAUAGCUGGUUCUCCCCGAAAGCUAUUUAGGUAGCGCCUCGGACGAAUACUACUGGGGGUAGAGCACUGUUAAGGCUAGGGGGUCAUCCCGACUUACCAACCCUUUGCAAACUCCGAAUACCAGUAAGUACUAUCCGGGAGACACACGGCGGGUGCUAACGUCCGUCGUGGAGAGGGAAACAACCCAGACCGCCAGCUAAGGUCCCAAAUUACAGCUAAGUGGGAAACGAUGUGGGAAGGCUUAGACAGCUAGGAUGUUGGCUUAGAAGCAGCCAUCAUUUAAAGAAAGCGUAAUAGCUCACUAGUCGAGUCGGCCUGCGCGGAAGAUGUAACGGGGCUAAGUUGUAAACCGAAGCUGCGGCAAUGUUCUAUGAACAUUGGGUAGGGGAGCGUUCUGUAAGCCGUUGAAGGUGUGUUGUAAAGCAUGCUGGAGGUAUCAGAAGUGCGAAUGCUGACAUGAGUAACGACAAGGGGGGUGAAAAACCUCCCCGCCGGAAGACCAAGGGUUCCUGUCCAACGUUAAUCGGGGCAGGGUAAGUCGACCCCUAAGGCGAGGCUGAAAAGCGUAGUCGAUGGGAAACGGGUUAAUAUUCCCGUACUUCUUACAAUUGCGAUGGGGGGACGGAGAAGGCUAGGUGGGCCUGGCGACGGUUGUCCAGGUUCAAGUGCGUAGGCUGAGUGUUUAGGUAAAUCCGGAUACUCUUAAGGCUGAGACACGACGUCGAGCUACUACGGUAGUGAAGUCAUUGAUGCCAUGCUUCCAGGAAAAGCCUCUAAGCUUCAGAUUGUAAGGAAUCGUACCCCAAACCGACACAGGUGGUCGGGUAGAGAAUACCAAGGCGCUUGAGAGAACUCGGGUGAAGGAACUAGGCAAAAUGGUACCGUAACUUCGGGAGAAGGUACGCUCUUGAUGGUGAAGUCCCUUGCGGAUGGAGCUGACGAGAGUCGCAGAUACCAGGUGGCUGCAACUGUUUAUUAAAAACACAGCACUGUGCAAAAUCGUAAGAUGACGUAUACGGUGUGACGCCUGCCCGGUGCCGGAAGGUUAAUUGAUGGGGUUAGCG